AGUGAACGCUGGCGGUAGGCCUAACACAUGCAAGUCGAACGGCAGCACAGUAAGAGCUUGCUCUUACGGGUGGCGAGUGGCGGACGGGUGAGGAAUACAUCGGAAUCUACUUUUUCGUGGGGGAUAACGUAGGGAAACUUACGCUAAUACCGCAUACGACCUACGGGUGAAAGCAGGGGAUCUUCGGACCUUGCGCGAUUGAAUGAGCCGAUGUCGGAUUAGCUAGUUGGCGGGGUAAAGGCCCACCAAGGCGACGAUCCGUAGCUGGUCUGAGAGGAUGAUCAGCCACACUGGAACUGAGACACGGUCCAGGCUCCUACGGGAGGCAGCAGUGGGAAAUAUUGGACAAUGGGCGCAAGCCUGAUCCAGCCAUACCGCGUGGGUGAAGAAGGCCUUCGGGUUGUAAAGCCCUUUUGUUGGGAAAGAAAAGCAGCAGGUUAAUACCCCGCUGUUCUGACGGUACCCAAAGAAUAAGCACCGGCUAACUUCAUG
rnacentral:rRNA from 1 species